AGAAGUGCACGCACUACUUGGCGGGAAACGUGAAAGUAUAAAUAAGACUCGCGCACGCGCUCACACACAGUCAGUGCAGAAUUUCUCUCAGAAGUUGUCGGCGGUGCCCUCCAUCAUGUUUGGAUUUGUACGAGCGCUUAAAAGAACGAGAUGUACACCUGGACAACGUGUCUUUCCCUUUAGCCACCGUUUCUACAUUAACUCCAAAUCAGCUAAAAGCAGUGUCGGCGUUGUGGAGAGCGUAUUUGUGAUGACCUUCAUCUCUCUUGCUGUUCUUGGUCCGGCAGCAUGGUUGCUGUCCAAAUCAUCUGAUACCCACAAAAAACAGCAGUGAGGAAGAAUGACGAUGCCUUCUGCCAGAGGACCAGACAUCUGUGUAUUCUAGCAGUUUCAGUUGUACACUAACCUACCAUCAGUGUGUGUCAAUGUCAAAUAUGCAUUUAAAUAUGGUGAUCAAAUACAACCUUUUCAAUACCC